AAUGAACGCUGGCGGCGCGCCUAAUACAUGCAAGUCGAGCGAGAAGACGUAGCAAUACGUUUGUAAAGCGGCGAACGGGUGAGGAAUACAUGGGUAACCUACCCUCGAGUGGGAAUAACUAGCCGAAAGGUUAGCUAAUACCGCGUACGCUUCUUGGACUUCGGUUCAGGGAGGGAAGCGAUACCGUGGGUAUCGCGCUCUUGGAUGGGCUCAUGUCCUAUCAGCUUGUUGGGAGGUGACGGCUCACCAAGGCUUCGACGGGUAGCUGGUCUGAGAGGACGAUCAGCCACACUGGCACUGCGACACGGGCCAGACUCCUACGGGAGGCAGCAGUAAGGAAUAUUGCGCAAUGGGCGAAAGCCUGACGCAGCGACGCCGCGUGGGGGAUGAA
rnacentral:rRNA from 1 species